rnacentral:sRNA from 1 species
CAAGAACUGAAACAUGAGCGAUCUCGAAUCCGAUGCUCAGGCUCGUCCGAUCUCUGGGCAUGUCUUCUAGCGUCCCCGUAGAACCCCUCAUAGCCGUCAUCGGCGCAACAGGCACGGGCAAAUCUCAGCUUGCUGUCGAUCUCGCCACCCGCUUCAAUGGCGAGAUCAUCAAUGGUGAUGCCAUGCAGCUGUACAAAGGCCUGCCUAUCAUCACCAACCAGAUUCCCACUGAGGAACGUAAAGGCAUCCCGCAUCAUCUUCUUGGGUGUAUAGGCUUUGACCAGGAGCCGUGGCACGUAAGCCAUUUCAAAAGGGAGUGUCUACGUACCAUUAAGGAGAUCAGGGGCAGGGGGAAACUACCCGUUCUUGUUGGUGGGACACAUUAUUACACGCAGGCCGUGCUAUUUAAGGAAGCUAUCCUGGAUCGAGAUGGGGAGGGUGAUGAAGAAAGUGGUAAUGCUGACAGGGAGAGGAUGGUGACGGAUGGUAACAGUGAAAUAUCAAAGAUUGCUACUCCACAGUCUGAAAAAUUUCCUAUCCUGAAUGCGUCUCCGGAAGUGAUACUACAGAAACUACGAGAAGUGGAUCCGGUAAUGGCUAGUCGUUGGCAUCCUAAUGACACUCGCAGGAUAUACCGCUCCCUGGAGAUAUAUCUGCAGACUGGCAGACCUGCGUCAGAGAUAUACCAGGAACAGCAAAGGCUCAAAGACGCUGCUAGCAUCCUUGACAACCAUUCCCUUCACGACUUAUCAUAUGUAGAGAAUCAUGCCACCACUAGAUCAUCGCCAGCCAGCGUGGGACCUUCCCAUUUGCGUUUUCCAACACUCCUAUUUUGGGUCCACACCGAAGACGGCGAGCUAACUCGUCGCCUCUCCCAGCGAGUUGACAACAUGGCUGAACAGGGCCUUGUUGCAGAGGCGGAGUCUCUUUUCAAUUACCUUAACCAGAAGCAUGCACAAGGGGUUGAAAUUGACCGCACGCGUGGCGUCUGGGUAUCUAUAGGCUUUAAGGAGUUGGAGCCAUAUUUCCAGGCACUUUUGUCUUCCGCCUCCACAUCAGCCGCCGCCGCCAACGGAGCCGGCUCGGUGGAUAUUGUCAGCGAUGUUGCUAGCAAUAUCACAAGUACUAGCAUUCUCAACCCCGAACAACUCUCCAACUUAAAACAGUCCUGUCUCAGCUCCAUAAAGUCCGCGACGCGGCAUUAUUAUCGCCAGCAGAUAAGAUGGAUAAGAGGCCGGUUAUGGAAUGCGCUAACAGACGCGCACGCUACACAGCAGCUAUACGUUAUCGACUCGACAGACGCUUGUAGCAACCCCAGCGCAUGGCAGAGCGCCGUGCGCGAGCCGGCUGAACGUGUCGUGGAGUCGUUUUUAUCCCGUGGUGUUGCAGAGUGCCCGGAUCCCCGCGAGCUUUCGGAAGCUGCGAAAAGAGUGUUUGAGACGCAAUUACAGAGCUCCGUGGCGGCUGGGGCGGUGGAGGGGGAAGAACGAGCCCGACAGAGGACUGUGUUUAAAUGUUCGACAUGUGACGUAUGUGGGAUUACAGU